GACAAGGUGGCCAAGAGGUUAAGGCCAUGAUCUACUAAUCCAUUGUGCUCUGCACGCGUGGGUUCGAUUCCCACUCUCGUCG